GUGAGUCAUCUGCAUUUUUUUUUUACGGCUUAAGUAUGAAAUUUUUUAAAGGUUAAUAGUUAGGUUUAUUGGGUAUUUAUUGUAUAAAUACACCUACAGGUCUAUUUUUCUGUUUUCAGGUUUUUUGAAAACAGGAAACUGUUUUGGAAGGCAGAAUAACAAAUAUUGUUACCAAGGAUGGAAAAUAAAAGAAAAAUGCAUAUAACAUACACAAAGCAUAAACCCAGGGUCAGAAAGAGUCCACCAUAGCACCACCAUUUGAGGGUCAUUUGGUCCUGUUGGCCUACUAAGGGCUAAAGACUUUAGUCUUUCUUUUAGGUGAACAUUUAAAUGCUAUUCAUUGGUCAGGAAAGUUCUGUCUGUCCUUUUUAACUUCUUUUUCUUCAAGGUUUAAAAUCUCAUUCUGAUUCUGUGGUGGCAGUGCUUGAAAAACCACAAUGAACAAUCAAAGGCAAAGGAAGGAAGGGAACAUGCCCUUCUGUGAGGUCCAGACACUCAUUUUUCUGUUUCUUUCCUAAGCACUUUAAUGUGUCCUACUCUGACCAUGGUAUUAGCUAUUUGUCAAGACCCCAAAUGGUGAAGUAAUGAUGCUUACUUGUAUUAUUAGAUGCUUAGUAAAGUAGCCAGAAUACAUGAGGAAAGUCUGGCUGGUACGCAUAGUGUUAUCACAUCUUACUGGAAAAAAAGUUUUAUAUUUCAAUUUUGUACCAGAACUACUUUUUUAAAAAACAGACAGUAAAAUAAAAACAAACUGAAAAGGCUGUGUGUAAUCACACAUUAGUCUUGUUAUCUUAACUUUCAAAAUAAUGAUAACUUCAUCUGAAUCAUAAAUAGUCGAUACACUGAAUUAUUCUCAAAACACUAAAACUUACUACAAAGACAAACGGGGUAUUUCAUUGGAGUAAAGGUUGUUUUGCUUGUGUCAGAGUUCAUCAGUGUUUUGUUAACUGGUUAAACAAUGGUUUUCCUCCUCUGCUCUUCAUUACUGACAGGAAAGUCCCUUAAGUUCUUUUGAUUAGUUUAUGUCUAGAAUGCUGAGUAGCUUAAAAUCAGGACACUGUGGUCUGGCGCUGACUUAUCGUUAGCUGAUUUAGCCAUGGUGUUCAGGGCCAAGGUAGAUGUAGUCCACAUCGUAGACUGUGAAGAUUUUUUAAUUUUAAUUUCUUUUAAAAGCAAAGGGAAACAGCUGAAUCUGAUAAUGAAUAUAUAGUGUGGAACCUAGCCUGGAUUACAUUUGUUGCAAUACCAGUGCAGUUGUAAAGUAUAAUUUUAAAUGUGUUUUAUGGUGAAGGGGGUCCAUGAAGGGCCAGCGCCCAUUGGAGUUGUCACAUGGCCCCACAGUUACACUGGGGUGUGCAGGAGAGUCAUUUAAGGCAUUUAUUUUCUUAAAAAAUAGUAGAUAGUUUCUUUUUCUUUUUAGUAGUGAUUUUGUUCUCUAUAAAUGACUCCAUAAAUAUGAAUACUCCUCAGAGAGAUGCACAAUUCUACCUACAAGGAAAGAGAAAUGACAUAUGCUUAGGUUAGACAGCUAUGGUUAUUCAUUGUAUUUUCUUAAAAUCAACUAUUUUUCCCUCUAGAUACCUACUAAUAUUCUGUUGGUUUUGAAAUAUGACAGAGAAAAUAAGGGAAAGGGAAGCCAAGUUUGACUCAUGGGUUUUGUCCCCUGAGCUGCCUGGGGGUCCCGAUCCCAGAGCAACCAGGUAGGACUGGCUGUUCCUCCCUCUCUGGCAGGGUGCAGGCUGCUCCUUCUUCCUCAGCUGUUCAUCUGUAUGACUGAGUGUAAACAUUUGCAGUGACUGUGACUCAUUUAGUUUUGUUUGUUUGCAAAGCCAUGAUCUAGUUUUGGAGAAAAUAUUUUUGUUCGUCUUCAAUGUCAGCAAGUCUCUACAUUAAGCACAGAAUAUCUUUUGAAUGUUGCUUGUUGAUUUAAAGCAAGCAUGUUGCCUGUCUGAAGCAUUUCUCUUUCAAAUAUAAACUCUCUGAGGACCAGACCUUUGGCUGUUUUGUUUGCUGCUACAGACUUUAGGAAAAGACAGACGUAUAAAUAAGAAAAGCUCCAAUGUUUGCUGGAAGAAUUUCCUCCUUUACAAAACUCAGGUUGAAAUGCCCUGAUAUUGCCCUGCAUAUGUAAGAAGACUGCUGAACCUUUUGCUUUCAGAUGGCAGGUGUCUUGGCAUGUACGCAAAAAUGUGUAUAGUACCUAAGCAGGUACUUAUCCACAAGCUACAGAUGGGAGCUGUCCUGACUUAGCAAGUCAGCUUAUGUGCUGAUACUGCAAAGCCAGUGGGUGACACUAUCAAAUUAAGUGAAGAAUGCAAAAAAAAGAUACUUGAGGGUCUUUUUUCUGCACUGCCCUGAACUGCAUGUCUUCAACAAGAAAGUGUCAUAGGCCAGGUUUGCCCAGAUUUUUAAACACAGAAUACCUCUGUCCACACUCCAACCCCCAGCACUGCCUUCUUGCUUCUUAAUCUAUUCCUGUGUUGUUCUGUGGAAAAUGGUUUGUUAACAGCAGAUUUCAGAUCAAGCAUGGGAAAAACAAGGGGCACGGGCACAGAAUUAGGCCACAGGAAGAAAUGUAGAUGAAUUGGAGCAGCUACCUAUUCAUGUUGGAGAAGCCAGGAGAAAGGACAUUUGGAGGACAAAGCUCUACAGCAUAGCUCCAUGCACUGAGCCUGGCUGACCAGUGCUGGAGCCAGCCCUCUUGGGUGCUGUCUGCAAAGCCCUCACCUCACACUCUCCCCUCUGACUGACCUCGAUGUUCCAUGUGGAAAAUGUAUGAGGCAUCUUGAAGCACUUAGCUAAACCACAGGUUCCAGGACCAGUGAAGGAUGACAUUCCAUCAUCACAAAUUCUAAUGUGGAGAAUGUUUCCCUUUGUACUUAAAUUUCCCCUGGCCUAAUAAUCUUUGAUAAAUCCUGAUGGAUUCCGUAUGCAACACGUAUGUAGAACCAAUUAGCAUAAGUUGUUAUUGAUAACAUGAUACAAGUGACCUGUUCAGGGCUCAUCAUGAACUCCUUUAUGUAAAACACACAGCUAAGUAUUGUGAGGGCUACCAAGGCAAGGAAGCCUCUGCCCUUGGGGAGCUCAUGAGAGUCUGAGAGGGGAACACAGGUCAGCAGAUAACCUUUCUAUGAAGCCAGCGGGUGAUCAAAAAAUUAGAGAUUAAUGAGAAACCCGGAGUACAUGAGAAAUGAACAUCAAAGAUGUUAGGGCACGCCCUACUGAGGUCCCGAGUCGCUCAGAACAAGCCAAAUCAGCCCACGCCCCGGCAACAAUCCACUGGACCCCCCACCACCCGCUCCUCUGCACAGCCACCUGGUUCCACACUACAGAGACGCAGAGGACACCGGAUGACCAGACCACGGUACUGAGUCCCGCUGCUCCCGGCCCAGAGGCAGGGGCUUCUGAGCCACCAUCCCACUGCUUCUGGUCCAGAGGAAGGGGCUUCCAGGCCACCAUCCCUCCCGCUGCCCCCAGGCCAGAGGAAAGGGCUUUUGGGCCACCUUCUGUCCCGCUGCUCCUGGCCCAGAGGAAGGGGCUUCCAGGCCACCAUCCCUCCCACCACUCCUGGCCCAGUGAUAGGGGCUUCUGAGCCACCAUCCCACUGCUCCUGGACCAGAGGAAGGGUCUUCCCGGCCACCAUCCCUCCUGCUGCUCCCAGCCCACAGGAAAGCGCUUUUGGGCCACCAUCCUUACCACUGCUCCCGGC
ensembl:lncRNA